GCCAAGAUAGCUCAGUUGGUAGAGCAGGGGAUUGAAAAUCCCCGUGUCGGUGGUUCGAAUCCGCCUCUGGGCACCA
rnacentral:tRNA from 1 species